AUACGGAGGGUGCAAGCGUUAUUCGGAAUCACUGGGCGUAAAGGACGCGUAGGCGGGUUGGCAAGUCAGAUGUGAAAUCCUACAGCUUAACUGUAGAACUGCAUUUGAAACUGCUAACCUAGAGUAUGGGAGGGGGAGAUGGAGUUAGUGGUGUAGGGGUAAAAUCCGUAGAUAUCACUAGGAAUACCGAAAGCGAAGGCGAUCUCCUGGAACAUAACUGACGCUAAGGCGUGAAAGCGUGGGGAGCAAACAGAAUUAGAAACCCCAGUAGUCC
rnacentral:rRNA from 1 species